rnacentral:lncRNA from 1 species
CUUAGAGCAGAGGCUCUAACUCCAGGCAUCACAGACCAAGAACACUAAUACCGCAAUAGCCAUUGACCCAACUCUGUCAUAAUAUGGAAGUUCCACAGAGGAGAGGCAAGCUGGGAAGACGAGAGGAUUAUGCUGAAAACUCUGCUCAUAAAACAGAGCCAAGAAGAUUGAUACAUGACUGGAGCCUGAAUGGUAGAACUUUUUCAGAAGUGAGGAGUCUGUUGGCCCAGAAGAUCUGCGCAUUUUUUUCAAAGAGACUCUAGAGUCUAAAAUGAACAACCAAUCAAUUCUACAAACAUUGCAUCAUGAGGAGUUGCUGCACCUCUUCUCCAGGAUUUGCAAAACGUGUAGUCCAAAUCGAGUUCGGCUAGAACUGGUCUGUCAUCAAGAUAUGGCUCAUGAAAGAGAUUGGUGUUUAGGAGGCUGGGAAAAGGAAAUAUUUUGAGAGACUUCAUGUGCUCCGCACAUGGAGGUGGCUUCCUUUUGCCUCAGGUGAAGGGAGCUUCAACAAGAUCACUCAGAGUUUGAUCAAUGAUCUUAGAAUUUGCAGAACAUAGGGACUGCCAUUUGACUCACCCUUUAGAAGUCAGGAGGAAAGGUUACGUGGCUGGCACUUCUCAUGUCUGGGAAGGAACAACUGUGAAGUGCUGACCUAGACGAAUGUUGCACUUCCGCUGAUGAGUAGGCAAUGGCGAAUGUUUUCCAGGGUCCAAAUGUGGACCCGGCAACAGAGAGGCUGUCUGUAAUCACUUUAUAAGAGACACUAACAACAAUGACCACUGGGACUAAAGAGAGCACAACGGAAGUAGUUCUGCCAGAAGGGCUGAGGAGAGGGCUGAGCAACCACCCUCAGGGGAGGCAGACCCACAUCAAAGACAUCUCAGCAGUCCCUUUCCCAUGAAAGAAAGAGCUAGAAAUUGUCCAUUUGACACACACACAAACCAGAUCCCAGAUUGCAAUUGAUUCAGAUAAUGAAAAGCUUGUUCUUUUCACUUGCUGUUCUAGCCUAACCAUGUAGGUGUCAGAAGCAGUUGUAGGCUAGGAGAGAAGUCGGAGCAAUACAGAAGCCAGUUCUGCCUUUGCCUCAAGAUCCACUGUCCACUCAGAGGCAGGCUGGCACAUGGGGGAUGAGAACAUUCCAAGAAAGAUGUGAAUCUGGAAUUUUCAUUUAUGCAGUAGAUGGGGAUUUACUACUGAAAGGAACAUGUUUUGGCAACUAAUAGUGACCAAAAGAAUUUGUACUUACUAAAAAUUAUCUUAAAAGCAUGGGAUUACCCUAGCAUUUUGUUUCAGAAACUGAAAUUAACAGAAAACUAUAAAAUUACUUUCUGCCUGAAACCUAAGAAGGUGAACUCAUGCCAGAAACCAGUUACAUUCACAAUUACCUGGAUUUUGUUAUUUCCUACAAUGAAUAAAACUUAUUAUAAAGCAGAAAA